CUUCCGUUCUCCCCGCACAGGAGGGCGGACCGAGGGACCGGUGCUCUCUGCCCUGACUGCCCCGGCUCCUCACCUUUCGGCCGACGGGACCGCACACCCCGUGGUCGAUAUUGCUCCGGGCUGCGGUGCCGGGAGGGCUGAGGGUCCCUCCUAGGCGC
rfam:Streptomyces sp. DSM 15324 genomic scaffold PRJNA299231_s003, whole genome shotgun sequence.